AGCCCAUAGCAGGAGCCCGCUGCAUGCCCAGGGGCCAAAUGAUGAGCCUGGGCCAGAGCCCAAUGCCUGCUACACCUGAGUGCAAGCCCAAGCCCUGCUGCCUCCAGGGUUUGUGGCUCCUGAGGGGGGCAGGGCCCAACCCCUGCUAGCGGCCCCAGGGGAGGGGCCGCUGCUUUGCCCCGCCCAAUCCGCCGCAGGAAAAGCCCCUGGUGGAAGCAGGCUGCUGGGGUUGCUGCAUUUGAGAAACGUCGGCCUAGGCUAACCCGCAAAGCUCCGCACACAGCGUAGAAGGCAGGUUGCACGGGGGCUACACAGCCCUUCCCAACCUGCUAACGCCGCUUCACUGACGCCAGGAAACAGGAUUGGACUUUAACAGCAGCAGCAAUAACAACAGCUUCAACUCAUCUCAACUAAUCUUUUCUCUUUCCUCCCAAAAGGUCAGUUAUUGCUAUAUAAGGGACUGUGAAACAAGGGUUUUUUUUCCAUCUUAAUCUACAGGGAAACUGAAAACCUUACUGAACACUCCACAUUUCAAAUGUUUUAACUGAUUUUCCUUCUUUUUCUGUAUCUUUAAUAAAAGGUUUAAAAGGAUUUUUAAUGGUGUUUGGUUAAAUGGUACUAAGUAGACUGAGGAAUUUGUAUACCAAAACCCUGAACCUUGUGUAAAAUUGUUCAGUGUUCAGCAGUUCCAGAGUCACGUUAACACCUCUGGGUCCAAUUAUUUCAUUCUAAAUUAAUACAACAGUUCUUAUAAAGCGCACUUCAUCAGCAUAUCUCAAAGCGCUUUACAAAGGAGGUAAGUAUCUAAAUCUAAUCAGUGUUUGUCUCAAUGGCUUGGGUGCACCUACACUGGCAAAACUUGUAAACAUUUUCUGGGCCAGUGGAACUCCAUUGGAAAAUGCUGUAAUGUAGAUAAGGGAACUGUGCCACUUCAGAAACAUGCUUAUAUAUUUUUCUAGUGUAGACAAGGCCACUGGGACAGUGAAUUCUCAUGUUCAAUAUACAGUGAAUAAAGAUUUAUUUCCUUCUUUUAGUUCUAAAGAAGCAUUCCCUUGUUUUCAUAUUAUAGAAUAGGAGGAAAAAGGAGCACUCAGUGACUUCUCCUAUUCCCAUCAAAAUGAGAUAAGUUUCCCUUUUGGAUGUUAAUUAUUCCUAGUCCACAUAUUUUCUCUUUGAAGUCAACAGGAGCUGUGGGUGCUUGACACUGCUAAAAAUCUUACUGGGCUUGAUGCAGGUAUUACUGGCCUGUGUUAUACAGAAGGUCAUGCUUCCUGAUCCCAACUGUACCUCUUCUGGCCUUAAAAGCAAUUCCCACCUCUGCCACUGACGCUGAUACAUACUGGGCAAGUCAAUUUAUAUGCACUUUCCCAUAACAGUAUCCACCUUUGCAAAGUACUUUUAAAUCUACUGAUGAAAAAUUUUCUAUUUUUCAUGUGUAUGUUUCCUGACUCAACUGCUACAAACUUCCACCUGACCACUGGCCAGAUCCUUGCAGCUGCAUAGCCAACAUGGUGUUUGGCCACAAGAAACUGCAACAUGUUCUAACAUAUAAAACACUGGACAGAGCAAAGAACUCCAGCAUUUUAUUCUGGAGCCCCAGUGUGGUGCACGUGGACAGGAGGAGUGUUACGUGAUCCUGUACCUGUGACCUGGAGCUGCCCUUGACCAACCAGUCAUCGAGGCAGGGAAAGAUCUGGAACCCCAACGCCCGAGGGCCUUGCCGUCGAAUGGAAGGUCCUGCAAGGAGUUCUGUGCCUCGCUGGACAAUCCAGACAGCAGGAGCCAUGACGCUCUCCUCAUGGACACCACGGAGACCGUGGACCUUGCAGCCAUAUCCGCAGCAUCUUAGCUGCCUGAAGGGCUGCCCUGAUGGCAACCGUGCCCUCCUCAACCAGAGCCUUAAACUCCUUAUCACGCUCCUGGAGGGAGUCUGCAAAUUUGGGCAUUGAGCCCCACAAAUUAAAGUUGUAUCUGCCCAGCAGUUUUGGUGGUUUGCCACCCUCAGUUGGAAGCUUGAGGACGAAUAAAUCUUUCUACCGAAUAAAUCUAGUCUUCUUGAGUCCUUAUCCUUAGGAGUAGGAGCGGGUUGACCUUGACGCUAGGAGCGGGAGUAGGAGAAGUAGGAGCGGGUUGACCUUGACCCCUAUGGUUGACCGCGUCGACCACUAGAGAGUUGAGGGCGGGGUGGGUAUACAGAUAUUCGUGCCCCUUGGCGGGCAAGAAAUACUUCCGUUCUGCCCUCUUGGAGAUGGUGGGCAAGGAAGCCGGGGUUUGCCACAGGGUGUUUGAGAUCUUUGCCACCCCUUCAUGCAGUGAGAGAGCCACCCUGGCCAGUGCCGAAGCCAAGAGGACAUUGAAGAGGGAAUCUGAGGGUUCCU